UCAGUUUAAUAUUAUUUAAAUCUUUGGUUUUUGAUGAGUAAUAUUUGCGUUUAGUUGAUAAACCGAAACGUGAAAACAGGCGUUGAGACGGAAAUGACGUGAACUGUAGCAACAGUAAACUUCCGUCAACUGUCACUCAACUCGAAAGCUUGACGAAAAUAAUAACUGGGAGUUUUCUACGAGCCAUGAUGUGACUGUCGCCCCCCAGCGAUGUCUGCGGAGAUACACAUGGACAGGACGAGUCCACGCACAGAUCCAAGUCGGUCGCUUCGCUCUCAGGCGUCUGCUUCAGUGGCCACCUCUGGAAUCAGCGGGGUGGUGGAGCGCCAGGGCCACGGACCGGGCCUGUCGGCCCCCAGGGGCCCUGAUGAUUCUGUCCCCAUGGAUGCCGACGCCUCUCGGACCACAAAUCAAACCGUGCAACAGGCUGCAGAUGGUCCGUGCGAGCUGGUCCAGCGGCAGAUCGAGCAGAUCCACAAGGUUCUGCAGGAGCAGAGUCGACUGCUGACGCUGCUUUGUGCAGGGACGGAGCGGACUGGACUUCGAGAUGGAGACCGGGUCCCGGUCGGUCCCUCUGCAUGGUGGGACGUCCCGCCGGCUCACACUGAAGACAGUUGGAUCCGAUCUGCGUCGAGACAAAGCGAGAAUUUCAGAGAGUUUGUCGAAGAGCAACUGGAAGAUCAUGACACCUGUGGGCACGGACAGCUGGAGAACAAAGAAAGGCGGAAGGCCGAGGACGUUUGCAGGAUGAACAGAAAUAAAAUCGAGGUCGCCGGGCAGCCGGAGCUCCAGAGGACGGCUUCCCCCGGCCAGCAGCAGCAGCAGCAGCAGCCCAGCGGGAAGUCGGUCUCUAAAGAUGGACGGACAACACAGAUCCAGACGCAGACUGAGGACUUCUCCAGAGCCACAGAGGACUCCCAGGCGGAGGAGAAGACGCACAGUGACGAGCCUCCUCCUCCGCGUCCUCCCCUCUCUGAGCCCACAGUCGGAGGGAAAAGGGAAACGGAACACAGCGGUGAAACCGCAGGAAGGUGUGUUGGUGAAGACGAGGUCAAAGGUCAGACUGAGCUCGCGGCGCCUCGCGGAGAAACGGGCCGUGCCGCCGCCUCGGAGGAUCGGCGGGAACGCGUCCGGACGCCGCCGCAGCCCAACGCUGUGUACGGAUCAGGCUUAGUGCAGCAUUUCAACAUUUCCCUCCCUGCGAGAGAGGAGAGCGGCGUUUCCCCCCGGGCCUGGAGAAACCAGGAAGUUAUUGUUAGUUUUAGGACAGCGAACGACCACAUGGGGCGAGUCUCAAGCCCCGACGUGGAAACUCUAUCCCCAGGCUGCGAUGAAACAAACACACAUUUUCAACUUUGCCACUGCGGAGGGCCGAGAGCGGGAGGCAACGCAGGCUCACACCGGGUCAGAGGUCGAGGGGAACCAUCUCCCACCAACACAGCUCGUCUCCGUCCGCCGGACGGCACGCGUCGACCUCCGACGCCCCCGAAGCGCGGCGCGUUUCCCGGGCAUUCCACCACGAGACGCAGUCGUGGCGGCGGCUGUGGCGGUGGCGGCGGCGGCGGCGGCAGCGAGGAUGGAGAUCACCCAUCCACACGGUGUCACCAGUUUCCCAAGCUCCCGUCCCUUCCUCCCGGCCUCGGCACUCACGAUUCCCAUUGGAAUCCACCGGAGGGUGAUUGUGCCAGCGACGCUCCCGGCGAGGCCGAGGAGGGACGCAUGUCCUCGGGGGAAGUGAGGCAGGACCAGACACUUGGACCUGGGCCAGGGGCUCAGCAUCGAUCGAACAGAGGAAACAACACUCUGGAGGUUCAGAAAACGCUGAGGGGAAACUCGCUGAAAGCCGAUAAGGAACGUGGCGAACCAGUUGAAUCGAUAACGGCACCGGCGUCGCGUGGAUUUCACCGAGAGACGGUGGAGAGAGGAGGAGCUGACGGCCCCUUUGACAGAGAACGAGGUGACGCCGCGAGGAAGCAACACGGUCUGCGCCAACCGCAGUCGAGGAGGGAAGUCCAGAGCGAGGGCGACUGGUCUGUAGUUCGACGCCGGCUAGAGGAGCUGAUCAGAGAAAACUCCGAGCUGAGGAAGAAACUCACAGUCACACCACAGUGCCACCUCCAGGCCGACCGAUGUACUGCAACAACACCUGUCGCGUCCCAUGAGAGACGCACGCAGACGGGGCGGCGUGCGUCCGACCGGCGCGGCCUGGCGACCUCCGCCGCCGCCGGGUCGAGGAACGCGAUUCCCGCGCACCGGAAGACGGAGACGGUCACGUUCUUCAACGGAGACGUGAAACACACGUCAGGAGACGGGAAAGUGCGUUUUCCUACUCUGUUCAGGUGUAUUACUACGCCGGCCCGCAGACGACACACACCACCUACCCGAGUGGCCUGGAGAUCCUCCACUUCCCCAACAGGCAGAUCGAGAAGCGACACCCCGGAGGCCAGAGGGAGAUUUUAUUCCCCGACCGCACCAUCAAGUGUCUGGAGCCCGACGGCAGCGAGAGGACGAUCUUCGGCGACGGCACCAUCGUUCACGUCUCACCGUGAGACAGGACGAGCAGCCGUCAUCACUCCAGGACUCCUCACACACACACAAAUAAUAUGCAGCGUCGCCGUGAGGGCCAGACACUGACAUCAUCCACUUUUGAUAUCAAGCACUAAAUACUUUAUGCAUUUAUGUCUAGAUGGAUUGAUUGUUAUGGAAAAUUGAAUCAGGAAGACGAAGGCCGUGUCCGUCUUGAGCAAAAGUAUUUAUUGCUUAAGAGCCCAAAUACAUUGAGGAGAUUUUUCUGAUUCGUUACACGGAUCAACAAGUGGUCAGUGCAUGUUGUCCCCCCUCCCUCCCCAAAACCCCUCCCUAGCCCGGUCAGAGUGACAGAUUUAACUCUGAGAAUCACGUGUCGUCAUCUCCAUAGAAACACUGUUUCUCUGUCUCGGUAAAAAUGUAGGACAAAGGGCGACCGACCUCGCAACUAGGACUCAACAUUCUAAGAGUCAGGACAGAAAUGUCCGGUGAGAAGACGGUCGACUUCCCCAGCGGUCAGAGGGAAAUCCACACUUCCCGGUACAAGAGGAGAGAGUAUCCCGACGGGACGGUGAAGACCGUCUUCCCCGGCGGGCGACAGGAAACCAAGUAUCCAUCGGGCAG